rnacentral:rRNA from 1 species
CUACGGGGGGCUCCAGUGGGGAAUAUUGGACAAUGGGCGCAAGCCUGAUCCAGCAAUGCCGCGUGAGUGAAGACGGCCUUAGGGUUGUAAAACUCUUUCGCUAGGGAAGAUAAUGACUGUACCUAGUAAAGAAGUCCCGGCUAACUCCGUGCCAGCAGCCGCGGUAAUACGGAGGGGACUAGCGUUGUUCGGAAUUACUGGGCGUAAAGAGUUCGUAGGCGGACUGACAAGUUAGAGGUGAAAUCCCAGGGCUCAACCCUGGAACUGCCUUUAAAACUGUCAGUCUAGAGACCGGAAGAGGUUAGGGGAAUACCUAGUGUAGAGGUGAAAUUCGUAGAUAUUUGGUGGAACAUCAGUGGCGAAGGCGCCUAACUGGUCCGGUACUGACGCUGAGGAACGAAAGCGUGGGGAGCAAACAGGAUUAGAUACCCUCGUAGUC